AACGCACCUUGCGCUCCUUGGUAUUCCGAGGAGCAUGCCUGUUUGAGUGUCAUUAAAUCCUCAACCCCGUCCGUCGGUCGGGGCUUGGACUUUGGAGCGUGCUGGCGAAGGUCGGCUCCUCUUUAAAUGCAUCAGCGGAGAGAAACAAACCUUUUUUCCCCCUUCAGCGUGAUAACUGUGUUGCGCUGUGGUCGCGAAAGGGUCCGCUCAUAAUCGUCCUCGGACAAACACCGAAUCUGUUUUGACCUCAGAUCAGGUAGGACUACCCGCUGAACUUAA
rnacentral:misc_RNA from 1 species